GACGAACGCUGGCGGCGGGCUUAACACAUGCAAGUCGAACGGAAAGGCCCUGCUUUUGUGGGGUGCUCGAGUGGCGAACGGGUGAGUAACACGUGAGUAACCUGCCCUUUACUUUGGGAUAACUUCAGGAAAAUGGGGCUAAUACCGGAUAGGAGCUCCUGCUGCAUGGUGGGGGUUGGAAAGUUUCGGCGGUUGGGGAUGGACUCGCGGCUUAUCAGCUUGUUGGUGGGGUAGUGGCUUACCAAGGCUUUGACGGGUAGCCGGCCUGAGAGGGUGACCGGCCACAUUGGGACUGAGAUACGGCCCAGACUCCUACGGGAGGCAGCAGUGGGGAAUAUUGCACAAUGGGCGGAAGCCUGAUGCAGCAACGCCGCGUGCGGGAUGACGGCCUUCGGGUUGUAAACCGCUUUCGCCUGUGACGAAGCGUGAGUGACGGUAAUGGGUAAAGAAGCACCGGCUAACUACGUG
rnacentral:rRNA from 1 species